AUAUAAAUAGUUUAAUAAAAUAUUGAUUUGUGGUAUCAAAGAUUUAAUAUAAAUAGUAUAUUAAUUUAUAUA
rnacentral:tRNA from 1 species